GCCCAAUUUCAAGCCCACAAAGCUUGGCCAUACCCCUUCUUUAGAAAAAACCCUAAAGAAGAGAAGGACAGUGGCACCGGACCCCUCUCUCUCUGAAUUCAGCCGCCCCAUCUCUUCCAAAAUUUGCCACUGCCAUAUAGCAGACGGUGAUUCCCAAAUCUCCAUUGAUCCUCACCAUUUUCACCUUGUCUCUCGUGGUAUUUUCAAAUAAAUAAAUAAAAUCGAAUAGAAACAGGAAAGGAGACAGACGGAAAAUAGAGCACAACUGUUAGGAGAAACACGGAAUGUGAGAACAAAAGCAAUUCUCGUUCCUUAAUUUAAAACAUUCAUUUUCGUCCUCCUUACUCUGCUUUGCGAAAAUAGCCAUCUCUUUUCCAUUCAACAAUUCUCUAUGCGUAUCAAGUUCAAACCAUUCUUAAUUGUACCCCAUAAAUAAGUAUAUUAUGUAUCUUAUUAAUUUCAAUGGAAAUGGAGGUUGAGGAUUGAAGUUCAUAGGGGUAGAAAUCUGCGAAUUCUGGUUUUGUUAUAGAUAUGAAGGGCCAGUUUACGUAUUGUCUAAAGCUUUGAUUGAGCGGAGGUUGUUUCGAGCUUUCCAGUGUCGAUUCGAGGUUGCCGACGAGAUUCGCGGUCCGAGAUGCUACUACUAUUGCGCUUUCGGGUCAGAUUUGGUUUGUCGGAGUUUGCUGUGAUUAAAGUUACGUUUAAUACAAAGAAAUCUUAGACGAGGUUCAAUUUUCUCUUAUCUCAUAUAUGCUUGAUCUAUUCAUUAUUGUGUUUAUGGUUCUGGAAUGUUUGACGUCUUGUUUGGUGUUUUAUUUUGCUUCCGUGACUCAUUGUAGUCUUUUGCAUUAUUGUUAAUUUCGUAUUAGACUAGUUUGGAUUAAUUGGAUUAAAGUUGAAAUGCAUUUGUAAUACUAAGGCAAAUAAGUCACAAUUUGAUAAAUGAAAAAUGAAUUUGGUCAAGGGGUUGUUUAAAUAGAAGCACUUUUAUGAAAUAGA
rnacentral:lncRNA from 1 species